AGCUGCUGAAUAUGCUGAAAAUAGUAGAGAGCCAUUUCAAAGCUGAAAAAGCUCCGAUUCUUCUUGUCGAUAAGAUCAACAAGAAGAAAGGCAAGAAGGAUUUCAAGAAAAAGUUGAACCCUAAGGCUGGCAUAUCCAAGAAGAAAGCAAAAAAGGUCUAUGCCAAAGAUACUUGCUAUAACUGUGGCAAGGAGGGGCACUAGAACAGAAAUUACAAGGAAUACCUUGCAA
rnacentral:lncRNA from 1 species